GCGGGCCGUAAGGCCCAAACAAAACUAGACCUAAAUCAAAGCUUUUGCUUUCCGGGUCCAGGGCACCGGAACUCCGGCGACGGCGAGCUACUCCGCCGCUACAGACCAGGUCGGAAGCUUCUUCUCCGACGAGGUGAUCUUCUCUCCCUCGAGGCCCCGACGCGAGGUGAAAACCCGCUGUUCGUUUCUGCGCAGCAAGUUACUAUUUCCCCCAAUUCCUGAUUGCCUCGGUGGUGCCCUCCGAUUCGCCGCUACUGACUCGUCCGGAAUCCGUUCUUCGGUGCACGGCCUUGGCUUGACCUGCGUUCUAUCGUUGGAUUUGAGGAAGAACUAAGACUUCAUCGCGUUGAUCUACCGUGCUGUCGAUUUAGUGUGCUAGUAUUUACUGUAGCAUGGCUUUACUGGAAUGGCAUUUCAGUUUUAGAUCGGGGAAAAAAGUUCAUAGCUCCCUCAGCGGCCAGCGCUCUGGAAAAUGAAAUGCAUUUUCGUGCUAUGAACACAAUGGUUGCAGUCUUGCAGGUAGUGUAGAAGCAUGUUAAAUAUCUGAGAGUAAAUUUGGCUGUGUUGAGGAGACCCUACCUGCCUUCUUAUUUGCAGAUUGCAAAGGUAGCAAUAUACUUUCUCCGUUUCACAAUGUAAGUCAUUCUAGCAUUUCCCACAUUCACAUUGAUAUUAAUGAAUCUAAAUAGAUAUAUAUGUAUAGAUUCAUUAACAUCAAUGUGAAUGUGAGAAAUGGUAGAAUAAUUUACAUUGUGAAACGGAGGGAGUAUAUGGGAAGAGAGAAGGCAGGAAGGAAUGAAAGCUUAGGGCAUAUGCUCCCCUUUUGACCAACAAAAGUGUUGCAUCUGCCAGUCAGAACUCUCUGUUUAUCACCAUUCAAAUGCUAUGUGUGUGUUAGUAUUAUCCGGUGUUGUUAAUAUCUUACAGAAAGAUAGAGUUCAUGCCUGCUAUGAAGAAUGGGCUUCGCAAGUGAAUCUGAUAAAAGUACUAGGCUUAAUGUUUACAUUUUUCCAGCAUAGUUCUUUGCAGGAAUUAUAUGUUUUUCAGAGCAAUCAAAAGAACUGCAUCUAUAUCUUUUGUGAAAAGGAUAAGAAUAUAUAUAAAUAAAAUUAAUGCCCAUGCGGGUUUGCAGCCCAAUUGUUUAGGCAUGAACACGAAUA